UCGAGGAUCUUCGGCAAUGGGCGCAAGCCCGACCGAGCGAUGCCGCGUGGGCGACGAAGGCCUUCGGGUUGUAAAGCCCUGUCGAGGGGGAGGAACUCUGACCUAUCCCUGGAGGAAGCUCGGGCUAAGUUCGUGCCAGCAGCCGCGGUAAGACGAACCGAGCGAACGUUGUUCGGAAUCACUGGGCUUAAAGGGCGCGUAGGCGGGCCGUCAAGUCCGGGGUGAAAUCCCCCCGCUCAACGGGGGAACGGCCCCGGAUACUGGCGGCCUGGAGGGGGGUAGGGGCGUGCGGAACACUGGGUGGAGCGGUGAAAUGCGUUGAUAUCCGGUGGAACUCCGGUGGCGAAGGCGGCACGCUGGACCCGUACUGACGCUGAGGCGCGAAAGCCAGGGGAGCGAACGGGAUUAGAUACCCCCGUAGUCC
rnacentral:rRNA from 1 species